rnacentral:rRNA from 1 species
ACGCAUUAUCAGAACUGUAGGGACGCAUGUGGAAAGCACGAGCCGGGAAUGGAAAGACCGGUACAAGCGAGGUAGGUGUACAAUAGGCAAAUCCGUUGUAUGAUCCGAAGACGUGAUGUGGAGCGAAAUAAAGUAGUGAAGCGUGUGAGCCAUGUGCCGAGAAAAGCUGCUAUUGUGUAAUGCGUGCCCGUACCGUAAACCGACACAGGUGGAUGAGGAGAGAAUCCUAAGGCCGACGGAAGAAGCAUUGUUAAGGAAUUCGGCAAAAUGACCCCGUAACUUAGGGAGAAGGGGUGCCUGCGAGAGCAGGCCGCAGAGAAUAGGCUCAAGCAACUGUUUAGCAAAAACACAGGUCUAUGCGAAACCGAAAGGUGAAGUAUAUGGGCUGACGCCUGCCCGGUGCUGGAAGGUUAAGAGGAGAGGUUAGCGAAAGCGAAGCUUUGAAUUUAAGCCCCAGUAAACGGCGGCCGUAACUAUAACGGUCCUAAGGUAGCGAAAUUCCUUGUCGGGUAAGUUCCGACCCGCACGAAAGGCGUAAUGAUUUGAGCACUGUCUCGACAAUGCAUCCGGUGAAAUUGAAGUACCAGUGAAGAUGCUGGUUACCCGCGCCAGGACGGAAAGACCCCAUGGAGCUUUACUCCAGUUUGAUACUGGGAUUCGGUACUGCAUGUACAGGAUAGGUGGGAGACGGAGAAGGAUGGACGCCAGUCUGUCCGGAGUCGCUGUUGGGAUACCACCCCUGUAGUACUGGGUUUCUAACCAGUUACCAUGAUCUGGUAAUGGGACAAUGUCAGGCGGGGAGUUUGACUGGGGCGGUCGCCUCCGAAAGGGUAUCGGAGGCGCUCAAAGGUUCCCUCAGAAUGGUUGGAAACCAUUUGAAGAGUGCAAAGGCAGAAGGGAGCUUGACUGCGACACCGACGGGUGGAGCAGGUACGAAAGUAGGACUUAGUGAUCCGGUGGUAUAAAGUGGGAUUGCCAUCGCUCAACGGAUAAAAGCUACCCUGGGGAUAACAGGCUUAUCACUCCCAAGAGUUCACAUCGACGGAGUGGUUUGGCACCUCGAUGUCGGCUCAUCGCAUCCUGGGGCUGUAGCAGGUCCCAAGGGUUGGGCUGUUCGCCCAUUAAAGCGGUACGCGAGCUGGGU